rnacentral:rRNA from 1 species
AACGAACGCUGGCGGCGUGGAUAAGACAUGCAAGUCGAACGGGAUUACUUUUGUAGCAAUACAAAAGUAGUUCAGUGGCGCAAGGGUGCGUAACACGUGGGCAAUCUGCCGAGAUGUGGGGAUAGCUCGCCGAAAGGCGAAUUAAUACCGCAUGUGAUUAGGGAAGACAUCUUUCCGACAUCAAAGCCGGGGCAACCUGGCGCAUCUUGAUGAGCCCGCGGCCUAUCAGCUAGUUGGCGAGGUAAUGGCUCACCAAGGCUAUGACGGGUAGCUGGUCUGAGAGGACGACCAGUCACACUGGAACUGAGACACGGUCCAGACACC